UUAGCAACAAUCUCGAAUGAGUGUGAAUUUAGGUGACGAUUACAACUCUAUUGCAAGGUACAACUAGGGUUCAUGCGAGAUGGGGAAAGGGGAAAGUAGUUGCGCCGCCGAUGCCUGAUCCUCUAGAUGCCUUCCCCUCCCCAGCGAUGUGGUUAAGUAGUGGAUGCCAGCAGUUGGGCCGCAGUGACCCAGUCCGGCCCGCUGACUCUUGGGUUGGCCUUGAGUGGCCGCUUGGGCCGUGUGUCGCUAGGCACCUGAGCCCCGGCAGGUGGCCCCGCCUUGUCAGGGACGCUGACAUCCCCCUCUUCUUGACGUGCGGCUUGCCCCCAAGCCGCCGCGUGAGGAAAACGAGCGUGAAUCGCCUCCUUGUCCUCCUAGGUGAUGCCGGUGGCUCCUGACCAGCGCACUUGAACUUGCUCGAUGACGGAGCCGCGAUGAGCGCGCCAGCGGGAUUGCAGCACUUCCAUAGGAACAACAAGAUCAUCAACAUUCAUAGGCAGAGUAGUCCCGACUAGUGUACCUGAGUGCAGGGCUCGCCGGAGUUGCGAGACAUGAAACACCGGGUGCACCGAUGCGGUUGCUGGCAACUUGAGUUCAUACGUCACCUCGUUGAUCUUCUUGAUGAUAGGAAACGGUCCAAAGAACUUGAAAGAGAGCUUGUGAUUUGCCCGUGGAGCAACGGAAGUUUGAAUGUAUGGUUGCAGCUUAAGGAACACCUGAUCGCCCACUUGGAAUUCUCGGAACGAUCUCUUUUUGUCUGCCUGAGACUUCAUGCAUUGGCGUGCCCUGUUGAGGUGUUGCUGUACCAGGUCUUGCACCACUCGGCGUUCUUCUAGCCAUGCUUGGAGAGAAGGUACCGACGUACUGGGUGGAGUGGUGAUGCCCCAAUGCCGAGGUUCAUGGCCAUACAACGCCUUGAAAGGUGACAUCCCAAUUGCCGAGUGUGGUGCGGCAUUGUACCAAAAUUGUGCCAGGGCGAUCCAGAGACUCCAGCGGUGAGGGCAAGCUUGAGUGAAACAGCGGAGGAAUGUUUCUAAGCAUUGGUUUACCCGUUCUGUUUGGCCGUCUGUCUGGGGGUGAUUGGCCGUGCUCAUCCGCAGCUCUGUGCAUGCAUAUCGGAACAGCUCACGCCAUAAGUGGCUGGUGAACACUGGAUCCCUGUCCGAGACGAUGGCCCCUGGAAACCCAUGUAGCUUGUAGAUCUGAGACAUAUAGACUUGUGCCACUUUAGCUGCUGUGUAGGGGUGGGCGAUAGGAACAAAGUGAGAAAAACGUGUUCUCUUAUCCACCAGCACAAGAAUGCAGUUGAACUUCCCGGAUUGUGGUAGGCCAUCGAUAAAGUCCAUGGUGAUAAGGUCCCACGGGUGUUGAGGAAUUGGGAGUGGUAACAAAAGACCUGGAAAUGCAACACGGUCUGGUUUGGCUUGUUGGCAAACUUGGCAGCAUGCGACAUAGUGCUUUAUAUGGGCCUUCAUCUUAGGCCAUGCAAACAGGCGGCGGAUGCGCUUGUAUGUCACGGGGAAUCCCGAGUGACCGCCCAAAGCACUGUCAUGGAAAGCCGCCAUGAUUCGUUGUUGUAGUGCUAUGGAUCCCCCGAGCCAAAUCCGGUCACGAAAGCGCAAGAUCCCUUGCUGGAGUGAGAACCUCUUCUUGGGAUCAUCCCGAACAGCCAACUGUUCCAACAGAGACUGAGCUUGAGGAUUCGAAUGGUAGUUGGUGAUGACGUCGUCGAGCCAUGCGGGCUGACAAGAAGUGACAGCGGCCAACAUCUCCUUUGGUUCUGUUCGUGACAGUGCGUCGGCCGUGGAGUUUUCCACCCCUUUUUUGUACUUGAUGCACUAACGUAAGCCCAAGAGUUUUGUGAAGGCCUUCUGCUGCCAAGGCGUAGUCAAACGUUGUUCCUCUAGGUGGACUAGGCUGCGCUGAUCUGUGAAGAUAACAAACUCGGCAUGUUGCAGGUAUGGGCGCCAUUGAUCAACAGCAACAAUGAUAGCUAUGUAUUCUUUUUUGUAAGUUGACAACCCUUGAUAUCGCGGGCAGAGCGCCUUGCUCAUGAAGGCAAUUGGGUGACCCCCUUGUUGGAGGACUGCGCCGACCCCCUUGUCACUGGCGUCUGUCUCGACCAUGAACUGUUUGGAGAAGUCCGGAAGUGCCAAAACUGGAGUUGUGAUCAGGUGUUGCUUCAGGGUCUAGAAUGUUGUUUCUGUGAUCGACGUCCAGAUGAUUUGCAUACUUGGUGGAGAUACUUGUUGCUAUUACCAUGCUUUCCUUGUGCCUCAUGCUAUUGUUGAUUCUUGUGUUGGGAGAGUCAUGAUGUUCCGUUGCUAUUUACCUAGGACUUCUUGCCAAUACAAUGAUGAUACUUUCCUCAUAUCUUGCUUUCACUCUUGUGAUAUAUCUUGUGCAUUAUUCAUGACCACCAUUUGCUCACAUGACAUGAUUGUCAUGAUUACCUCUAGUACGUUGCAUCUUCGCACUACUAGCUUGCAUGACUUGAUUCAUAUGAUUGAUUGCUUUGUCGCAUCACCCAUGUUCCAUUAUUACUCGCUUUCUUGGGUUGAUGACAUAUAUGUUCAUGCCUCUCACAUGAUAUAUCUUGAUCAUUGUCUCUUGUCUCCAUUAGUUGCAUAUCUCAUAUCACCUUGUAUUGAGUGCCACCUUGCUAUGCGUAUUGAUUGUGAAGACUUGGACAUAUUACUUGUGAAGCAUGCUUGCUUACUUGAGCCUAUUGUCUUUGGUUGUAGUUGCAUCAUAUGCUUUCAUACCAUGCCCCAUCUUGUUCUUUCUUAUGAUAAGCAUGAUGAGAACACUUGUUGGGUAUCUCAACACUCGAAUGAUAGGUGCUACAUUUGCACUAACCUCAUUUGUUUUUCCGAGUGUUUGUCAUGUUCUUUCAUUUUGAAGGAUUCACAAGGCGGUACCGUCAUGAGACAUAUUGGUUAUGUGAAGGCAUACAAGAUGCACAACUCCAACAUCUUUGAGAAACUCCUAAAGGUGACCCCAUUCCUUUUGAGCCAUCCUCAAAUACGCAUAUUGGAUGGGUCAUUCUUUCAUUGUUGUUUCUUUCUUGUUGUCUACAUGAUACAUCUCGUGAACGGAGGAGCGACAUUGGAGAUGGACCCUAUGGACCUUCAAGUUGAGAAGUGCUCGGACUUAGUGGAUGCACCACCGGACAAACACUUCUACCACGACAUCGAGCUAUGGUAUAACACCACCCAUGACAAAUUUGCAUCUUAUGCAUGGAUUGACUCACAUUAUGAUUGCCUUGUUGCAUCUUGCAUUACCUUGUCUUCCAUGAUAUAUGAGCUUGUGAACUUCCUUAGCAAAUUUGUUGUGAUCUUUCUUGAUGGCAUAUUCAUACAUCAUGAUCAUAUUGCCUACCAUCAAUUGCAUGAUAACAUAAUCAUAUUGAGCAUCCAUUGCCAUAUUCAUGCUAUUGAUAAACCGUCUCACUAUGACAUCAUUUUGCACCGUGGUUGCAUUGAUCACAUUCACAAUACAUUUGUGUGCACAAUGAAUGCUUUUGCUCCCAUGAACGCUUUGCAUGUCAUUCUAUAUCAUCUUGAUAAGCUUCAUGCGCUUUGCCAUGAACAAUCUUGCCGCACGGACUCAUUCUUACAUGAUGGACACCUUGUGUGCGCUAACCAUUGUAUUUCCAAGUGUCGUUUGUGUUUGCUCUUUUUGCAUGUGUACCACUCCGGAGACACCUUGGAGUACUUGGAUUGUGCCAUGUCUUCCACUUCGUCCAACUACAAGUCCGUCCACGACAACCGUUUCCAUGGUGAUGAGGUUUUCGAUCCGAGGUCGGAUCUUUCCCAAGGGAGGGGAGAUGAUGCAGAGCAUCCUACGAUCAUCCCCAUGUACACUCGAGCCUACGCCAUUGGACCUAAGGUGAACUCGCUCCUUUUCGAAUCUUCCAUUUCCGCAUGUAAGACGUGGAUGCUACUUCAAGCGCGGACCUUGUGCAUACUCAGGUACACCCGAGGAGACCAUGGAGAGCCCAAGGACCAAGGCCAAGUGUGCGCGGGAGUGAAGGAAGGAGAAGGAAGAAGAGCCAGCUGCCACAGCAGUCGGACAUCCGGACAUGUCCCGGACAUCCGGCCCCUGCCCCGGAAAUCCAGCAUCGGCUAUCCAAAGAGCACCAGAGUCGGCCAAGUCAGCCCGGACAUCCGGCCCCCAGGCCCGUCGUGAGCCGCCGGACAUCCGGCCCAGCUCCCGGAAAUCCGGCGCCCCAUCACAGAAGGUGGACCCUGCCGGCCCAGACAUCCGGCCCCAGCGCCCGACAUCCGGCGUCUCGGGAAGGCCCGGACAUCCGGCCCCCCUGCCUGCGUGCAGCGCAUCUGGGCCGAGGCCCAUGUACCCCUUCGUCCCUUAGACUAUAUAUACUCCCCCACCUCCUCCUAGUUAGGGUUAGCAUUGGUUUAGCUCAUAUGUGAGGUAGAGCAUUGCUCAUCCAUACGGAUCUGCUCCACGAGAGAGACCGUGGCCCCUCUACGGACACGAUCCACGUUGGAUUCAAGACCCCCUCUUGGGUGGCCCCAUCAAGAGCUCCUCACGAAGAAGAACCGGUUACCCUUUGUAUCGUCCUUUGUUGGAUUUGGAUCUUGUAUCUCCUCUUGUGUUCCGAGGAUCUAGCAUAUGUGUGACUAUAUCUUGUUGGUUUUGAGAGUUCCUCUUGUGUUUUCCCUCGUUUUCCCCUCGUGUUCUUAGUUGGGAUCCGCUCCUUUCGUGAAAGAUCGGCUGUAUAGGGUUCCACCCUACAUCACAAACGGAAGCGGUGCCCGUGAAAUUGAGGGCGGCCAUGGGUACCCAGAAAGUGGCAUGGAUUCCAAACAUGGAGAAAUACUGCCCACACAAGGUCUUCCACAAAUUCGGGUUGUCCCCUGUGAAUUGUGGAAACGCAAUGGAGGGAUGGGCUUGGCCAAGUCCAGCCAGCAUCUGACUUGCAUGAGCGAAAGGAGACAGAGCUGAAGGAGACAGGAGAGAAUCGGACUGACCGCUGGCCGGCGGCGGCGGCGGUGUCUAGAACGACACCGUCGGCGGCCCCCAUGGUAGGUUGAAGACGCCGUGGCCAUGAAGCCCUGGAUGUGGUGUCGCCGCGCCAUUCACGGGUCCGAUGUGGACGUCGUGCGUCGCAGGCAGAGGUUGUGGCGGCUCGCGCGCGGCCAGAUCCGCGCCACCGUCCUUGGGCGGCGGCCUUUGCGCCAGCUGCAGCGCGGUCAUCGCGUCGCUGAGAGUCGCGACACGGCGCUCCAGAUCAGGACGCCACGUGAGGAGUUCGUCGAUCUUGGUCGACGUGACCUGCUGGGCCUUGGUCUGGGCGUCGAUCUUGGCCUCCAGGUUGGCCUCCAGCUUGGUGAGGAAGGCGGAAACGUCGGGAUCCAUCGCUUCCAAGUGCGUGCGAGCUUGGCGCGGGCUUCUGGUCUCGACGAGUUUCGCCAGAGCGAGCGGAGAGGGAGGUGGGUGGUCUCUGAUACCAAAUGAUAGGGACGAUCUAGCCUCUCAAUUACUUAGCAACAAUCUCGAAUGAGUGUGAAUUUAGGUGGCGAUUACAACUCUAUUGCAAGGUACAGCUAGGGUUCAUGCGAGAUGGGGAAAGGGGAAAGUAGUUGCGCCGCCGGUGCCUGAUCCUCUGGAUGCCUUCCCCUCCCCAGCGAUGCGGUUAAGUAGUACUCCAUCCGUCCGGGAAAAGUUGUCCACGGUGUAGUUUUAUUGUGAUUUUUGCAAAAAAGCCCUUAGGAUUUUAAAUCUCCCGCUAAUUACCCCUUUGCUUCUUCCUCCUCCGGACGCCCGCGGCAGGAACAAGCCCAGCGCGCCGUCGACAGCCACCGUAGAGCCCAGCGCGCUGCCGCCAACCUGCGUCGCCGCUGCGCCACCGCCCACCUGCGCCGCUGCUGCCAAUCUGCGGCGCCCCUGCCCACCUGCGCCGCCCGCACGAAGGCGAGCUGCGCCGCCGCCCACACGGAGGCGACUGCUCCUCCGCGGCGACCAACUGGACGUGCGCCUCCUCCACGGCUGAAGGCACCUCCCUCGUCG
rnacentral:lncRNA from 1 species